GGAAUCUUAGACAAUGGGCGCAAGCCUGAUCUAGCCAUGCCGCGUGAUCGAUGAAGGCCUUAGGGUUGUAAAGAUCUUUCAGAUGGGAAGAUAAUGACGGUACCAUCAGAAGAAGCCCCGGCUAACCCCGUGCCAGCAGCCGCGGUAAGACGGAGGGGGCUAGCGUUAUUCGGAAUUACUGGGCGUAAAGCGAACGUAGGCGGAUUAGAAAGUCAGAGGUGAAAUCCCAGGGCUCAACCUUGGAACUGCCUUUGAAACUUCUAGUCUUGAGUUCGAGAGAGGUGAGUGGAAUUCCGAGUGUAGAGGUGAAAUUCGUAGAUAUUCGGAGGAACACCAGUGGCGAAGGCGGCUCACUGGCUCGAUACUGACGCUGAGGUGCGAAAGCGUGGGGAGCAAA
rnacentral:rRNA from 1 species